GAUGAACGCUGGCGGCGUGCUUAACACAUGCAAGUCGAACGGAAAGGCUCCUGCUUGCAGGGGUACUCGAGUGGCGAACGGGUGAGUAACACGUGGGUGAUCUGCCCUGCACUUCGGGAUAAGCUUGGGAAACUGGGUCUAAUACCGGAUAGGACCGCAUUUUGGAUGGUGUGGUGGAAAGUUUUUUCGGUGUGGGAUGAGCUCGCGGCCUAUCAGCUUGUUGGUGGGGUAAUGGCCUACCAAGGCGUCGACGGGUAGCCGGCCUGAGAGGGUGUACGGCCACAUUGGGACUGAGAGACGGCCCAGACUCCUACGGGAGGCAGCAGUGGGGAAUAUUGCACAAUGGGAGCAAGCCUGAUGCAGCGACGCCGCGUGGGGGAUGACGGCCUUCGGGUUGUAAACUCCUUUCGCUAGGGACGAAGAGUAAUUGACGGUACCUGGAGAAGAAGCACCGGCUAACUACGUG
rnacentral:rRNA from 1 species